rnacentral:tRNA from 1 species
UCCCUGGUGGUCCAGUAGUCAAGAACCCUCCUUGCAAUGCAGAGGACCCAGGUUUGAUCCCUGGUCAGGGAA